rnacentral:misc_RNA from 1 species
AACGCACAUUGCGCCCAUUAGUAUUCUAGUGGGCAUGCCUGUUCGAGCGUCAUUAAUUCCACUUAAGCCUCGCUUAGUGUUGGGAGACUGCUCCAGCGGUGCUACCCUGUAGCUACCCUGCAGCUCCUCAAAGACAGCGGCGGAGUCGUGUUAUCCUCUGAGCUUAGUAAAUUAUUCUAGCUUUCGAGUACAUCACUUCCCCUGCCGUUAAACCACCAAAUUUCAAUGGUUGACCUCGGAUCAGGUAGGAAUACCCGCUGAACUUAA